rnacentral:tRNA from 1 species
UCCUUGCAGCUCAGUCAGUAAAGAAUCUGACUGCAAUGCAGAAGACCCAGGUUCAAUUCCUGGGUUGGGAA